GAUGAACGCUGGCGGCGUGCCUAAUACAUGCAAGUCGAGCGAACAGAUAAGGAGCUUGCUCCUUUGACGUUAGCGGCGGACGGGUGAGUAACACGUGGGUAACCUACCUAUAAGACUGGGAUAACUUCGGGAAACCGGAGCUAAUACCGGAUAAUAUUUCGAACCGCAUGGUUCGAUAGUGAAAGAUGGUUUUGCUAUCACUUAUAGAUGGACCCGCGCCGUAUUAGCUAGUUGGUAAGGUAACGGCUUACCAAGGCGACGAGACGUAGCCGACCUGAGAGGGUGGUCGGCCGCACGAGAGCGUAGACACGGUCCAUGCGCCUGCGGGAGGCAGCAGUAGGGAAUGGUCCGCAAUGGUCGAGAGCCUGACGGAGCAACGCCGCGUGAGUGAUAAAGGUCUUCGGAUCGUAAAACUCUGUUAUGGGGGAAAAACAGACGUGUAAGUAAAUGUACCCGGCGUGACGGUACCUAAUCAAGAAGCCACGGCUAACUACGUG
rnacentral:rRNA from 1 species